AUUGAACGCUGGCGGCAGGCCUAACACAUGCAAGUCGAGCGAGCGGCGGACGGGUGAGUAAUGUCUGGGGACUGCCCGAUAGAGGGGGAUAACUACUGGAAACGGUAGCUAAUACCGCAUACUAUCGGAUACACCAUAUGGGAUUAGCUAGUGGGCGAGGUAAUGGCUCACCUAGGCGAGCAUCCCUAGCUGGUCUGAGAGGAGGAGCAGCCAACCUGGGACUGCGACACGGCCCAGAGGCCUACGGGGGAAGCCGUAGGGAUAAUUGCGCAAGGGGUGCAAGACAUAUGCAGACAUGCCGCGUGUAUGAAGAAGGCACUAGGGUUGUAAAGUACUUUCGGUCGGGAGGCGUUACCGACAGAAGAAGCACCGGCUAACUCCGUGCCAGCAGCCGCGGUAAUUC
rnacentral:rRNA from 1 species